UUCAGUUACGCACAUCAUGUGGGACAUUCACUGAGUUUAUUGACAAGUGCCCGGUACUUUAGAUUCAGUUUUAGUUUCAGUUACGCACAUCAUGCGGGACAUUCACUGAGUUUAUUGACAAGAAACUUGUUGUGAAAAACUUGAGAGUUGGCCAUUGUUAUAGCAUGGAGCUUCCAUUAAGACUGUGUGUUUCUUUACUAGGAACAUUCCUGUCUGUUGGUCUGCAGUACGACUGUAAAAAGGUGGAUGGCUACAAGUUUCCAGUAUACUCAACAGAAUUAUGCCCCAGAAAUCAGACAGAGUGGAACGAGAGGUCGUCUGCCAUCAACUGUACCAAAGACAAUGGAUACUUGUGUUUCCCGAAUGAAAAGUUCACCCAGCUGCUGGAGUUCUGUUAUAGAACUCGCUUCAUAUGGAUACAGGAAGGUUAUUGUCUGUAUCUAAAAAAAAGAUGACUCGACGAUAUAUUCAUACAGCUGCAGCAGUUUCCAAUUCGGAUGUCAUAAUUCCUCCUUUCAAUCAUAUGAUUUGUUUAAACAUUCGGGUUGUACAUCAAUUGGAAAUGGUUGUUUUCUUGCUGAACCAUCUUGCGAAGGUUCGGACACAGCAACCAGUCUUCCAGAAACAACGAAACCAACACACGUUGAGAUUGUCACUAGGAAUUACAGUACAACAGCGUCCAUUGAUGAAAAAACAAAUCAAACCCCAAAAUAUAAUGACUAUUUCAUCUAUGAUGAAGUAUUCAUGAUGCCAAUUCUUGCUGGAGUACUUAUUCCAAUCAUUAUAUUCUGUAUGCUGUGUAUCUUUUACAGGAAAGGUAAGACAAUGGGUUUGGGUUUCUUUUUGUUGUAUCUGAACCGUAUAUUGAAAAUCAAUUUUGCCAAAAAUAUGAUUAUUAUUAUUACAAUGAAUUGGAAACCAAUCAAUUUAAAAAUGCUGUUAGGUACAGAGAGACUUUCAAAUCUAAAGAGCGCGCAAAUAAGUAAAUGUGGGUAGAAAAAAAAUGUGUAAAAAUGAGGUUUAAAUGUACUUAUGGGUGUUGUUUACUCAGGGUUUGAGAUCUCAAAUUCGGAUUGUUAUAAAGUUCAAUAUAAUCAGUAAAAUUUGUUCUAAACACAAAAAGUAUUUAUGAAAUGAAUUAUUAUUGGCAAAUCAUUCGAAAUUUUUUCUUUAUUAUGGAAUUAGGCUAAAUAAAAAUGACUUUUAGCCAAAGAUAGGACAUUUGGACUAAAUUUUGAAGAUUUUGUUUUUUGCUAAAAUUUGUUUGGCAGUACUCUAAUAUUAAGAGAUAGGAUUUUAUAUUUUAGCAUACGUAAUUUUGCAUAUUUUCUGUUGGUUUUACCUCACUUAUUCAUUAAAAUAAUCUUUUGGCACGAAUUGCAAUAAUAUUGAAAAAUGCUUAAAAAUGAUAAAAGACACCAUAUCUCAAAAUUUUGAGCAUUGACCUUAUAUAAAUUUUAUGCCAACAGAAUAAGGUUAAUAUAAGUAGUUUAAUACCAUAUAUGUUUUUGUAUUAUCAUCAUUCAAUUUUUUUGUAAAAUUAGAUUAAAAAUGGGUAGGGAUUUGAAAACUGAUAGAGAAAAUUCGGACUGGAAUAUUUUCUAAAAUUGUUGUAGAAAUAUUAAUGCUUUGUGCUUAUUUAGUGCCACUACCAUUCAUAAACUGUAUUUUAUUUUUUUAAACUGUUUUAUUAUUUGUAGUAUUUUUACAAUUAAGAAAAUCUCAAUCGUAGUGUAAAAUUUUAUGGGAUUUUUCUUGAUUUUACAAAAAAUACGCAAUGGCCAUUAACUCAAAAAGUAGGUCAUUGACCUACUUUUCUGAAAGUGAAAAAUAAAACUACAAGCAAAGUUCUAUAACACACAAUAGAUGGUUUUUCAUUAUCAUCAGUGGAUUUUUUUUUUUUCAUUUUGAGUAAACGUCAUCCUUAAGAUGGAAUUAAUACAUACUUUCUUCCAGAUUUGAUAAAUUUAAUAGAUGCGUGCAUUGCAAUGUGCCAUUUGUCAGCAUAUGAAUCUAUAUUACUUUAUAAACAGUACAACUAUUCUGUACAAUAAAUUAAAUAAUAUUCUAUUUCUUAAGUUAAUUAGUUUAUGUAAAAUACGAUAAUGAUAUAAAAAACAAAGGGCAAAACAAAAUGCGCUAUUUGUGAACUAAAUAAGCUUCUUGUGGCUAGUCAACAAAGAAAAGAAAAAAAGUUAGCGAAAACACAGCAGCGUUUUAAUUCACUAGCAGAAUUUAAAAUUACUACAGUUUUCCGACAAUAGUAACGGUCCGCAAGUUAAAAAACAAAUUAUUUAAACUGAACAAACACAUAACAAACUGAAGAUUUGCAGCUGAUUAAUUUACGAUGAAGACAUUAGCAGAAUUCAAAAUUACUCAAG